AUUCCAUUUAAAAAGUGAAACUUGUAUAUUAUAUUCAUACAUUACAUACAAACUGUUUGUAACUUUUCUUUUCUUCUGUCUGCAGGAUCCUGUUUACCAAUUGAUGUGCCACAUGAAAGAGUCGACCUGCAAGAUGGAAAUGUCAUGGAAUUUCUCCAGUCAAAGGAUACCAGGAUUAACCAGCAAGCUAAGGA